rnacentral:rRNA from 1 species
ACUGCCAUACCAUGCUGAAAACACCAGUUCUCAUCCAAUCACCGAAGUUAACCAUCAUCGGGCGCGGUCAGUACUUGAGAGUGUGAACAC